AUGGGCGAAAGCCUGAUGCAGCGACGCCGCGUGAGGGAUGACGGCCUUCGGGUUGUAAACCUCUUUCAGCAGGGAAGAAGCGAAAGUGACGGUACCUGCAGAAGAAGCGCCGGCUAACUACGUGCCAGCAGCCGCGGUAAUACGUAGGGCGCAAGCGUUGUCCGGAAUUAUUGGGCGUAAAGAGCUCGUAGGCGGCUUGUCACGUCGGGUGUGAAAGCUCGGGGCUUAACCCCGAGUCUGCAUUCGAUACGGGCUAGCUAGAGUGUGGUAGGGGAGAUCGGAAUUCCUGGUGUAGCGGUGAAAUGCGCAGAUAUCAGGAGGAACACCGGUGGCGAAGGCGGAUCUCUGGGCCAUUACUGACGCUGAGGAGCGAAAGCGUGGGGAGCGAACAGGAUUAGAUACCCUGGUAGUCCACGCCGUAAACGGUGGGAACUAGGUGUUGGCGACAUUCCACGUCGUCGGUGCCGCAGCUAACGCAUUAAGUUCCCCGCCUGGGGA
rnacentral:rRNA from 1 species